AUGGCCUGGACUUCUCUACUUUUCUUCCUCCUUCAUUUCACAGGGUCUUUCUCCCAACCUGUGCUGACUCAGUCACCCUCAGCCUCUGCCUCUCUGGGAGCCUCAGUCAAACUCACCUGCACCUUGAGUAGUCAGCACAGCACCUACUUCAUAGAAUGGUUUCAGCAACAUCCAGACAAAGCUCCUAAGUAUGUGAUGCAACUUAAGAGUGAUGGAAGCCACAGCAAGGGGGAUGGGAUCCCUGAUCGCUUCUCUGGCUCCAGCUCUGGGGCUCAUCGAUACUUAAGUAUCUCCAACAUCCAGUCUGAAGAUGAAGCUGACUACAUCUGUAGUGUUAACUAUGAAAAUGGUAAACAAUAUUGGUGA